rnacentral:pre_miRNA from 1 species
GGGAGGUUGAACAUCCUGCAUAGUGCUGCCAGGAAAUCCCUAUUUCAUACUAAGAGGGGGCUGGCUGGUUGCAUAUGUAGGAUGUCCCAUCUCCCAGCCCAAUUCGUCA